rnacentral:rRNA from 1 species
CCCUUAGAUGUUCUGGGCCGCACGCGUGCUACACUGAGUGGAUCAGCGGGUCAGGUUGCGCGAAAGUGUUUCCUAAUCUUUAAAUCCGCUCGUGAUGGGGAUUGACGGUUGCAAUUUUCCGUCAUGAACGAGGAAUACCUUGUAAGCGCGGGUCAUCAUCCCGCGCUGAAUACGUCCCUGCCCUUUGUACACACCGCCCGUCGCUCCUACCGAUUGAGUGGUCCGGUGAGGCUUUGGGAUCUGAGCGGAAAGAGCGUUUCGCUGUUUCUGCCCGGAAAACUCAGUCGAACCUUAUCAUUUAAAGGAAGGAGAAGUCGUAACA